rnacentral:rRNA from 1 species
UGGGGAAUAUUGCACAAUGGGCGCAAGCCUGAUGCAGCCAUGCCGCGUGUAUGAAGAAGGCCUUCGGGUUGUAAAGUACUUUCAGCGGGGAGGAAGGGAGUAAAGUUAAUACCUUUGCUCAUUGACGUUACCCGCAGAAGAAGCACCGGCUAACUCCGUGCCAGCAGCCGCGGUAAUACGGAGGGUGCAAGCGUUAAUCGGAAUUACUGGGCGUAAAGCGCACGCAGGCGGUUUGUUAAGUCAGAUGUGAAAUCCCCGGGCUCAACCUGGGAGCAGCAUCUGAUACCGGGAAGAUUGAGUGUAGUAGAGAGGUGUAGAAUUCCAGGUGUGUAGGUGAAAUGCGUAGAGAUCUGGAGGAAUACCGGUGGCGAAGGCGGCCCCCUGGACGACGACUGACGCUCAGGUGCGAAAGCGUGGGGAGCAAACAGG